rnacentral:rRNA from 1 species
GACGAACGCUGGCGGCGUGCUUAACACAUGCAAGUCGAGCGGUAAGGCCCUUUCGGGGGUACACGAGCGGCGAACGGGUGAGUAACACCUGGGUGACCUGCCCUCAGCUCUGGGAUAAGCCCGGGAAACUGGGUCUAAUACCGGAUAUGACUCCAUGACGCAUGUUGUGGGGUGGAAAGCCUUGUGCGGCUGAGGAUGGGCCCGCGGCCUAUCAGCUUGUUGGGUGGGGUGANGGCCUACCAAGGCGACGACGGGUAGCCGGCCUGAGAGGGCGACCGGCCACACUGGGACUGAGACACGGCCCAGACUCCUACGGGAGGCAGCAGUGGGGAAUCUUGCGCAAUGGGCGAAAGCCUGACGCAGCGACGCCGCGUGA